rnacentral:rRNA from 1 species
CCCUACCCCUGAAGUACCUCUCACCUCUCCCGGCCUCGAGCCGAACAGUAUCUCCUGAAAGCCCAACAUUGAGCUGCUGGAUUUCUCAAGAGACUUAUCCGGCCGGCUACAGACCCUUUAGACCCAAUAAUAACGGUUACCACUCGAGCCGCCGGUGUUACCGCGGCGGCUGGCACCGGUCUUGCCCGGCCCUUGCUAUGCAAUGCUUUUUAGGCAUCACGACAGCCAGAUUUGUAACCUGGCACUCGAGGUCCCCUUAUCGCCGUUGCCGGCAUUGUAAAGUUUUCGCGCCUGCUGCACCCCGUAGGGCCUGGAUUCGUGUCUCAGAAUCCAUCUCCGGGCUCUUGCUCUCACAACCCGUACCCGUCGUAGGCUAGUAGGUACGCUACACCCACUACUACCUGAUAGGCCGCAGACCCAUCCUCUGGCGCCGGAGCUUUCGAUCUCGGGGCAUUCCAGCGACCGAGAUCUAUCGGGGAUUAUACCCAGUUUCCCGGGUUUAUACCCGUCCGGAGGGUAGGUUGUCCACGUGUUACUGAGCAGUACGCCAUGUAUUGCUACAUUCGA